rfam:Schistosoma curassoni strain Dakar, Senegal genome assembly, scaffold: SCTD_contig0006684
ACAACGGCCCUUUUCAGGGCCAAUCACCAUUUGGUUUGCGACUUCCU